GUGCUCACUUUGGCAGCACAUAUGCUAAAAUUAGAACAAUACAGAAAAUAUUAGCAUGACACCUGCUCAAUGAUACCAUGCAACUUCAUAAAGUAGUCCACAUUUUU